CAGUAGCCGCGGUAAUACGAAGGGUGCAAGCGUUAAUCGGAAUUACUGGGCGUAAAGCGUGCGUAGGCGGUUUGUUAAGUCUGUUGUGAAAUCCCCGGGCUCAACCUGGGAAUGGCGAUGGAUACUGGCAAGCUAGGGUGUGUCAGAGGAUGGUGGAAUUCCCGGUGUAGCGGUGAAAUGCGUAGAGAUCGGGAGGAACAUCAGUGGCGAAGGCGGCCAUCUGGGACAACACUGACGCUGAGGCACGAAAGCGUGGGGAGCAAACAGGAUUAGAUACCCCUGUAGUCCCUGUCUCUUAUAA
rnacentral:rRNA from 1 species